UGCCAGACUCCUACGGGAGGCAGCAGUGGGGAAUAUUGCACAAUGGGGGAAACCCUGAUGCAGCGACGCCGCGUGGGUGAAGGAGCACCUCGGUGCGUAAAGCCCUAUCGGCAGGGAAGAAACAGACGGUACCUGACUAAGAAGCCCCGGCUAACUACGUGCCAGCAGCCGCGGUAAUACGUAGGGGGCAAGCGUUAUCCGGAUUUACUGGGUGUAAAGGGAGCGUAGACGGCAGCGCAAGUCUGAAGUGAAAUGCCGGGGCUUAACCCCGGAACUGCUUUGGAAACUGUGCGGCUAGAGUGCAGGAGAGGUAAGUGGAAUUCCUAGUGUAGCGGUGAAAUGCGUAGAUAUUAGGAGGAACACCAGUGGCGAAGGCGGCUUACUGGACUGUAACUGACGUUGAGGCUCGAAAGCGUGGGGAGCAAACAGGAUUAGAUACCCGAGUA
rnacentral:rRNA from 1 species